CCUACGGGAGGCUGCAGUGAGGAAUAUUGGUCAAUGGACGAGAGUCUGAACCAGCCAAGUAGCGUGAAGGAUGAAGGCACUGUGUAUUGUAAACUUCUUUUAUCUGGGAAUAAAAUGUUCCACGUGUGGGAGUUUGUAUGUACCAUAUGAAUAAGCAUCGGCUAACUCCGUGCCAGCAGCCGCGGUAAUACGGAGGAUCCGAGCGUUAUCCGGAUUUAUUGGGUUUAAAGGGAGCGUAGGUGGAUUGUUAAGUCAGUUGUGAAAGUUUGCGGCUCAACCGUAAAAUUGCAGUUGAAACUGGCAGUCUUGAGUACAGUAGAGGUGGGCGGAAUGCGUGGUGUAGCGGUGAAAUGCUUAGAUAUCACGAAGAACUCCGAUUGCGAAGGCAGCUCACUGGACUGCAACUGACACUGAGGCUCGAAAGUGUGGGUAUCAAACAGGAUUAGAUACCCCUGUAGUC
rnacentral:rRNA from 1 species